rnacentral:rRNA from 1 species
CGGUAACCUCGCCUUCGUUAGGGCGGGGAAUAACUUUAGGAAACGAUAGCUAAUACCGAAUAAAAGUCGAUAUCGCAUGAUAUUGAUUUGAAAGGUGCAAUUGCAUCACUAAGAGAUGGACCUGCGUUGUAUUAGCUAGUUGGUGAGGUAACGGCUCACCAAGGCGACGAUACAUAGCCGACCUGAGAGGGUGAUCGGCCACACUGGGACUGAGACACGGCCCAG